rnacentral:rRNA from 1 species
UUUGCUUGCGACACCGAGGGUGCGCAGCAGCUGAGGUGUCGCUAAAUGAGUUUAGCGAAAACCCGGAUCAACAAACUCUGGGUGAAAUUAGCGGUAGUGGUAGGGGAGCGUUGUGUUCAGCGUAGAAGCCGUACCGUAAGGAGCGGUGGAGCGGACACAAGUGAGAAUGCAGGAAUAAGUAGCGAAAAGACAGGUGAGAAUCCUGUCCGCCGCAAGCCUAAGGUUUCCUGAGGAAGGUUCGUCCACUCAGGGUAAGCCGGGACCUAAGCCGAGGCCGAAAGGCGUAGGCGAUGGAUAACGGGUUAAAAUUCCCGUGCCACCGACGUUCGUUUGAGCGAAGAGGGGACACAGGAGGGUAGGUUGAGCCGGUGAUUGGUAGAGCCGGUCUAAGCGAGCAGGGUGUCUGGCAGGCAAAUCCGCCAGGCAACAGCCCGAGACGCGAAUGGGAGCGACACUACGGUGAAGCGAAGCAACUGACCCCAAACUGUCGAGAAAAGCCUCUAGUGAGAGCGUUGGUGUCCGUACCGCAAACCGACACAGGUAGGCGAGGAGAGAAUCCUAAGGCGCGCGAGAGAACCCUUGUUAAGGAACUCGGCAAAAUGACCCCGUAACUUAGGGAUAAGGGGUGCCGCCGCGAGGCGGUUGCAGAGAAACGGCCCAAGCGACUGUUUACCAAAAACACAGGUCCCUGCUAAGUCGUAAGACGACGUAUAGGGGCUGACGCCUGCCCAGUGCCGGAAGGUUAAGGGGAGGAGUUAGGCGUAAGCCAAAGCUUCGAACUUAAGCCCCGGUAAACGGCGGCCGUAACUAUAACGGUCCUAAGGUAGCGAAAUUCCUUGUCGGGUAAGUUCCGACCUGCACGAAUGGCGUAACGACUUGGGCGCUGUCUCGACGAGGGGCUCGGCGAAAUUGUAAUACCUGUGAAGAUGCAGGUUACCCGCGGUUAGACGGAAAGACCCCGUGGAGCUUCACUGCAACUUGACAUUGAGUUUUGGUAUUCUUUGUACAGGAUAGGUGGGAGACUGUGAGUCAUGGGCGCUAGCCUGUGAGGAGUCAACCUUGGGAUACCACCCUGAGUGUACUGGAAUUCUAACCGCACACCGUGAUCCGGUGGCGGGACAUUGUCAGGUGGGCAGUUUGACUGGGGCGGUCGCCUCCCAAACAGUAACGGAGGCGCGCAAAGGUUCGCUCAGUGCGGUUGGAAAUCGCGCGUCGAGUGUAAAGGCAGAAGCGAGCUUAACUGCGAGACAAACAAGUCGAGCAGGGUCGAAAGACGGCCUUAGUGAUCCGGUGGUUCCGAGUGGAAGGGCCAUCGCUCAACGGAUAAAAGCUACCCCGGGGAUAACAGGCUGAUCUCCCCCAAGAGUCCAUAUCGACGGGGAGGUUUGGCACCUCGAUGUCGGCUCGUCGCAUCCUGGGGCUGUAGUAGGUCCCAAGGGUUGGGCUGUUCGCCCAUUAAAGCGGUACGUGAGCUGGGUUCAGAACGUCGUGAGACAGUUCGGUCCCUAUCUACCGUGGGCGCAGGAAAUUUGAGAGGAUCUGUCCCUAGUACGAGAGGACCGGGAUGGACGCACCGCUAGUGUCCCAGUUGUCCCGCCAGGGGCACGGCUGGGUGGCUAUGUGCGGACCGGAUAAGCGCUGAAAGCAUCUAAGCGCGAAACCGACCUCAAGAUUAGAUUUCCCACUGGGUAACCAGGUAAGACUCCUGAUAGACCAUCAGGUCGAUAGGCCGGGUGUGUAAGCGCAGUAAUGCGUUAAGCUGACCGGUACUAAUCAGUCGAGGGCUUGACCUU